rnacentral:rRNA from 1 species
AGAACUCUGAUGCUUGAUGCCGCGUGAGUGAAGAAGGCCUUUGGGUUGUAAAGCUCUUUUGUAGGGGAAGAUAAUGACUGUACCCUAAGAAUAAGGUCCGGCUAACUUCGUGCCAGCAGCCGCGGUAAUACGAAGGGACCUAGCGUAGUUCGGAAUUACUGGGCGUAAAGCGCGCGUAGGCCGUUGAGUUAGUUAAUUGUGAAAUCCCAAAGCUUAACUUUGGAACUGCAAUUAAAACUGCUCGACUAGAGUUUGAUAGAGGAAAGCGGAAUACAUAGUGUAGAGGUGAAAUUCGUAGAUAUUAUGUAGAACACCAGUUGCGAAGGCGGCUUUCUGGGUCAACACUGACGCUGAGGCGCGAAAGUAUGGGUAGCAAAGAGGAUUAGAUACCCUCGUAGUCCAUACCAUAAACGAUGAUUGCUAGAUGUUGGAAAUUUAUUUUCAGUAUCGCAGCUAACGCAUUAAGCAAUCCGCCUGGGGAGUACGACCGCAAGGUUAAAACUCAAAUGAAUUGACGGGGACCCGCACAAGCGGUGGAGCAUGUGGUUUAAUUCGGAGAUACGCGCAGAAGCUAUACAAGCCUUGACAUGUCUGUCGCGAGUUUAGGAAACUAGACUCUUCGGUUCGGG